UCUGAGUAAAGUACCACUGAAAGCGUAGAACCUGUCUAGAGUUCAAUAUUCAUACGAUUAUUUGAAUGAGUUGAGUUUAUGAUGAUCAUGGUGUGUUUAUUGUAUUAUUAAGAGAUUUAACUUAUAAGUUAGAAAUUAUAUUAUUAAUUUAAAAAUAUCAUGUUAUUUUGUUGCAUUAGCUCACCCUUGCUUUAUAUGUUGUUUGGUGGUUACUGUUGUGUUGUGCA
rnacentral:lncRNA from 1 species